ensembl:lncRNA
GGCCUGUAUAUUAUAUAAACAUAAAUAUAAGACAAUGUAAAUGAGAAGAAAUUGUGUAUUUGAAGGUCACAAAGGUGCAUUACCAACUCAACCUCAUUGGGACCUAUUUUAUAACCCCAUUGUUGUAUUGAACUGAAACAAAACAACACCAUUUCUCUUCAUAUUCCUUAAAUUGCAAGUUGUAAAUGAUUUUGCCCUGCCUAUAAUAGGUUACAAUGCCCUGGGUUAAAUAACGCUGUACAUGGGAUAAAAGAUGUUGUUAAUGUCGGGUGCAUGUUUUCUAAUAGUGAAUAAAAGUCACACUGUAUAAAUAAAUUCACUUAGAUGGAAUGUAAAAUGUGUAUUAUUUAAUGCAAAAUGCAGAUGGUAUACAAAAUGACAAUUCAUGUUCUCCAUUGUUCUCUCUCACAAAUUAAAUGAAAUACAAACAAAUGAAUGCAAAUGCCUUAAGAUAACAAUCCAUAUUCUCUCCUACUGUAUAUGAUAGCCCUCAUAUUAGUGAUGCCAAUCUUAUCCAUCAUAUAUUAAUUAUCAUCAUCCUUUUUUUUUGGCCUCUUAUUACUCUCCAUCAGUGUUGCUCACAGGCAAGGAGCUCCAGAAUAGCCUCCUGGUGGGUGGCAUGAGAGGACCCAGUUUCUUGAGGAUAUCCCUCUUCUUGGCCUCCUCAACGCACCUUGGCCUCAGGGUGGUGGAUAUCUUUAACUGAAACUUAUUCAGCAGGAGAUCCAGCUCUAAAAAGUCCUCCUCCUCAUGGGACAUCUUCACAAAUAUGCUCCUCGAACCACAUUGCAACUGAACAACUUUAAGGUCUGCCAGUUUGGGUACCUUCUUCUUUUGACUGAAGAGUGGCCAUCCGUCUAGUCCCUUCAUUUCUCACCUCCAACCCCUCAACUUUCCUUGCAUUUGAGUUUCCCACCACAGAGAGGAAGUCUUUGAAAUCGUAGACCACCCCUCCGGGUCUGCUCUUCAUCACCUGCCCCACGAUGAAAACUGUCUGCACUCAUAAAUGUGUGCCCUAGCUCGAAGAACUUAAGGAUGUUUUCAGUCGAGACGGUGCUGGAGUUGACGAAGGACACAAGCCAAGAAGAAGACAAUCUUUGUUCUGAGAGCUACAGCGGUCUACCCAGUGUGCUUGAUGACCCACUCCUUCUCCAAUCCCGCUGCAUAAUUCCAUGUUAUCUCCCUUGCACAACCGCACUGCAAUCCCUUCGUGCCAUACAACAGAGACGGUCUUCUUUUUGUUGGCCUUUUUUCCCUGACUGAUGCAACGGUUCCAUGAAACGAUCCGUCUUGUGAACAUGGCUGACUCGACGCCAGGCAUCUGUGGGAGCACGACCACCUUCUGCAGGUCCACACUUCUGGUGGAUGCGUCUUCAGGCCAAUCCAUUUCAGCAUCUGACCUGUAGCGUAGCCCGCUCUAUGCUGCCGCAUCCGACCUGCAGCGUAGCCCGCUCUAUGCUGCCGCAUCCGACCUGUAGCGUAGCCCGCUCUAUGCUGCCGCAUCCGACCUGUAGUGUAGCCCGCUCUAUGCUGCCGCAUCCGACCUGUAGCGUAGCUCUAUGCUGCUGAUUUCUUGUGUUCUUGCCACCUUUUACACUGCGGGCAGUUCGUUGCAGCCUCCCCCUGGUGGUCACCUUUCACGUGCGGUUCCUGCAGUAGACAGCACUCGCACUCCUCCUCUUCAAGCUUAUGUGGGAAUCCUGUGGGAGGCCUGGGGGAAACCCACUCAACAGCGCCCUACACUGGGGCUUGGUAUGCAGUGCACCCCACGCUCAAACACCUGCCGUCACUAAGGACAUACCUCCCUCUAUUUAUUUAAGUAAAGCAAGUACCCGGACUCUGUUCGUCAGUUUUAGUUGUUUUUUACUUGCAUUAAUUUAAGAGCCUGCUGUUUGACGACUACUGGCCUAAAGCCUUGUAUGUUCCACCGUUUAAUGAAAUAUACUCCAAAAAGAACCGCAACUUCCUGGUCUCCUGUCUGUUUAUUCUAGUCCCCUUCUACAAGUGUCAGUGCUGGGGAGUUGAACCGUCACACUUAGUAAAGCUAAUGUUCUUAGACUUAACUGCCUUUCGAUACGACUCGUAGGAACAGUUGUUGCCUUUUUCCACAUAGUCAUUAUACAUGAGUUUGAUGCUAAUGUCGCUGGGGAGGUAGCGGCGGCACGGGGCAUGCUCGCUCUGGUUGUGGCUGAUGGUCGGGUGGAAGGACUCAAUGUGAUGAUGCAAUGGCUUCGGGUCCAGCUUGUUGGCCGGUGCAUGUCUCCCUCUCUGAUCUUUAGGGGGAACAGAAGGAGUUGUGAUGUCUUUGCCCAUCACUGAGAGGACCAGGCUGUCGUUGGUCGGGUGGUACCCUAAGGUUGCAAGGAAGAAAUGCUUGCACACCUGCUGUGGGACCUGGAAUUCAUCUUUCAACCUGUAGAUAAAAGACCUGCCCCGCCGACUUGAUUUUCCGUCACCACAGACUUUUGCGGUUGGUACCUGGCUCACACUGUAAAACAUGAAGGAACGUUUCUCAGUGUAUGGCCGGUCCCAGUACUUGUCCCAUAUUUCUCUCCGUCUGUCCACUGAAAAUUUCUCAGAGCAUUUUCUUCUGCAUUUGGGGCCACACGGUUCUCUUAUUGGUGGUUUAUGAGUGGGCUCUGGGGGAGGAGCAAGCUCUGGUACUGUGACUUGAGCAAGGGCAGGUUCUGGUGCAGUAAGUGGAGCAAGGUUAAGGUAUUCUGGGUCUGGAGCAAAGGUGGAGUCUGGUGUGACUGGAGGAAGGGUGGAGUCUGGUGUGACUGGAGCAAAUGUGGAGUCAGGUGUGACUGGAAGACGGGUGGAGUCAGGUGUGACUGGAAGACGGGUGGAGUCAGGUGUGCUGGUAAGGAGGAGAUAAUUUGUUCCGUAAAACAGCACAUUAUCAGGAGAACUUAUAUCCUUAUAAUUGUCCAGAAUUGUCCACUUUUUCUUUUCUAGUUCUUUUGCAAGGAGUAUUUUGGCUGCAUUUGGCUGCAUUUUGCAAGGCAUAUCCCCACAAGAAACUGAAAUGAAUAAAGCAAAUAAUUAGAGACAUGCUUAGGAAAUUAAUAUGGUAUUGGCCUAUGUAACAUACAGAUGAGUGGCCAAAGUGUCAUUCAUCAAUGUCAAUCUUAACACAUUGGACAUAGGCCUGAUACCACUGUUGAAUCAUUGUACAAGGUGUUAUUAUUCUAUACCUAGGCUACCAAAACUGCUCUGAGCUACACAGUCUGACGGAUUGGAUUGGCCAAUUGGAUACAUGUUGACAAUUUAUGACUGCAAAUGGACAAACGUGAUUGGAUUCAUUGUUUUUCUGACAUGACAAAUGUAGACACACAUUACUUUGAUCAAACAAAAUAGUUUGGGAUGUGGGUGAAUAACGUUUUGCAACCAAUUUAUUGAGUGCAAUAUUUACUAACGCAACAAAUAGUAAAGAAUACAAGACUUGUGUUUUUAACAGAAUUGGAUGAAUGCCAGAUUAUGUUACUCAUGUUGUGGGUUUAAUAUGAACGCCAACAAGUAAUGCUCAAAACUCGUGUUGUGAAUUAAAUCUCUUAGAGGAUCUUGUUUGCAAUGGCUUUUUAUCAGGUUACAAGAAAGAAGUAGGCCAUCUAUUUAAAUGUGAAUUGUUACUGCUGAUCUUGUGUGUGUGAUUAGGCUACUCAGGAGAUGUCGUGUGUCUAUGCGAGCCCUAACUCACUCGUGCGGUUUCCUUUGUCAAGUAGUUAGCUUAAGCUAGCUAGCUAAUAAGUCAUUUUAGUAGAUUACCCAUCUCUCUUUCCUGUAGCCUAAUCUUUCUUACCUUGAUCUUGGCGUCUGCGUUUCAAAGCCAUCUCCACCAACAUUUUCUUUCGAGUGCAAUGGGCCAUUCUUAAAAGCUAGAUCUAAUUAAUAAAAACAACCACUGCACCACAAUAACACUUUAUUACAGUUACACUCAUCCCAAUCAUCCCCACCAUUGGGACCCAUUCACAUUCACCCAUCCCAAUCAUCGGGGCCCAUUCACAUUCACCCAUCCCAAUCAUCCCCACCUCUGCCACUACAAUUUUACUUUAAAUCCAUUGUACGUUAACAGACUAUUCAAGACACAGAACCCUCACAAAGCAGCAGGUCUGACAGUGUCUCCUUCCACCCUAAAGCACUGAGCAGAUCAGCGUCCUGCUGUGUUUACGGACAUCUUCAACACCUCACUGCAUCCUGGGCUUUUUCAAGUCCUCCAUCAUCAUCUCAGUCCCCAAGAAGCCAAGGACCACCGGACUUAAUGACUACAGACCCGUCACCCUGUCCUCUGUGGUUUUGAAGUAAUUUGAGCACCUUGUACUGUCCCAUCUCCAGACAAUCACCGACCCUCUACAGUUUGCCUACAGAGCCAACAGGUCUGUGGACAAUGUGGUCAACAUGGCACUUCACGUCCUCCAGCACCUGGACUCCCCUGCAACCUAUGCCAGAAUCCUGUUUGUGGGCUUCAGUUCCGCAUUCAACACCAUAAUUGACGCCUUGCUCCAAGACAAGCACUCCCAACUGGGAGCGCCCAAGUCCACAUGCAGGUGGAUCACAGUCUUCCUGUCCAACAGGUAGGCAGCACGUGAGCCUGGGGAAGUACUUGUCUGACCCCCUGACUGGCUUUUCAACAGUUCUACUUUGUGAAGCUUUGCCCAUAGGGGCUUCGCGCCUAUUGGUUUACCCCUCUGCCAAUACGCAAUCACUGAAAAAUCACACCUCUCAUGGACAUCUGCCCCAUGGCUAUAAAAGAGGUUCUCACACUCUGCUCAGUCUCUGUUUUUUCUUCACGAGAAAGGUUUAAGUAUGGAGUCUACCAUGAUUUCUAUUAAGCCAAGGAUGGCUUCACCAUCUUCGACCACUGGAGCGGUCCCUGCUAGCCCGGCGCCCCGCCCGCCGACUUCCCUGUCUGCAUGCCGGUGUAGCGAGCUCGACGCGGCAGUCGACGUGCACACUGCUGCAUGCUUGCGAUGGCACCUGGUGGAAAAGCAAUACGCCCUGUCGGUCCCUGGUGCAGGCCCUGUCGGUCCCUGGUGCAGUCCCUGGCGGUCCCUGGUGCAGACCCUGGCGGUCCCUGGCGCAGUCCCUGGCGGUCCCUGGCGCAGUCCCUGGCGGUCCCUGGCGCAGUCCCUGGCGGUCUGCAACAACGUGGGCCUCCUGGCGGCGGCCGUGGCCGGGAUAACCGAGGGUCACACCUCGCUGUCUCCAGUGGAGGUGAGUGAGGUGGCAAGGGCUUCGGCGGCCAUCCUCAAGCGCAGGUGCACCUCAGGUCUCUGAGGGCUCUUCACAUUCCCGGAGAGCUCAAUGUGGGGGCCGAGUUGCUGUCUCAGGAAGGUCCCCGGGAUGACUAGUGGCAUCUUCAUCCCGACAUUGUAGUUGAGGUCUGGAGACGUUUUGGGAAGGCGCAGGUGGAUGUGUUUCCAAACCCAGGAGGAUGCACACUGCCCCUCUGUGGUGCGGACGGAGAGGCUGUUGCUCAUCCUGAUCGCUCCUUUUCACCAGGGUGCCCGGUGGUUUGCAGAGGCGGCUCAGAAGGCGGUGGGGACGCCAUGGCCAAGCCCUUACCGCCACGGACGGGGCACUGACACAGGCGAACGGCCUCCACGUCGGCUGGCUAUGCUAACCCUAACCCUAUGCUAGCCGUUGGGGGAUCUUUGCCCACUGGUGUGAUGACGUGGUGGUUGACCCCCUGUGUUGUGACGUGGGCAGUGUCCUGUCGUUCCUGCAGCGUCUGUUUGAUCAGCAAAGAUCCCCCGGCACGCUCAAGGUGUACGCGUGUGUGAUCUCAGUGUGUCACGAAGGGUUCAGUGGAGUGUCUGUAUUUAGAAGGGUUCAGUGGAGUGUCUGUAUUUAGAAGGGUUCAGUGGAGUGUCUGUAUUUAGAAGGGUUCAGUGGAGUGUCUGUAUUCAGUCAUCCCUUGGUGAAACGGUUUCUGGCCGGGUCCCGUCGUCUCUGGCCGGUGGCUCGGCGGACGUUGUCACAGUGGGAUUUGGCUUUGGUUCUGGAGGCACUGUGCGACGUGCCGUUUGAACCUAUUGAUCAGAUAUCGUUGAGGAUGCUGUCCCUUAAGAAGGCACUUUUGUUGGCUCUGACCUCUGCUAAGAGGGUCAGUGACCUUUGUGCGCUGUCGACGCAGCCUGGCUGUCACGCAAUCAACGGCGAUGGCAGCAGGGGUGUGUUUCUCCCUAACCCGGCCUUUCUGCCCAAGGUGAUCAAGCCAUUGCAAAACAGUUCUAAACUAGACUUAAACAUACAGAAAUUUUUAAGCAAACGAGUUUCCGUAAAUGAUCUGCACCUUUAACUUUCAGCAGUGCUGUCAAACACGCCGACAUCCUAUGGAAACUGACCUAAUUUGCAUGGAAUUUGUUGAGAUAUUUCUAACACUGGCCUCAAAAUCCCUUGUUUAGAUUGGAAACAUUAUUUUGGAAUCAAAAUAUUGUGCAAAAAGAUUGUUGUUUAUAAAAAUAAUAAGGAUCUGGCUCAAAUCAUUUCAAUCAGGCAAUUAUGUAAUAAAUGCAACAGCCCUAGUUGUAACUUAAAUGCUCAGUUUGCAAAGAUUGUGAAGAGUUCAUUUAUUUGUUGGAUCAUAGCGUUUGUGUUUUAUUGCUGUUUAAAUGUUGUCUAUUAUUUGGCUAUUUAAAACAUAUGUCUGGUAGCUGUUCUAUAUGGCCAGAAUUCUAGGAAUUUAUGACCGUCAAAAAACGUCUAGCAUAAACUCUGCCACCUACAGGUGGGAGAUUGAUCAUCUGGUGUCCUUGUGCAGUCAGAACAUCUUGGAGCUCAACACCCUAAAGACCGUGGAGAUGAUGGUGGACUUCAGGAGAAGCCCAGCUGCCCUUCACCCAUCACCCUGGGUGGUUCCCCAGUCAACUCUGUGGAGUCCUUUCGCUUUCUGGGCACCACCAUCACCCAGGACCUCAGGUGGGAGCUGAACAUCACCUCACUUACAAUGAAAGCUCAGCAGAGGAUGUACUUCCUGCGGCAGCUGAAAGAGUUCAACCUGCCAAAGACGAUGAUGUGGGCAUUUCUACACUGCCAUCAUCCGGGUCCAUCCUGACCUCCUCCAUCACUGCCUGGUACACUGCAGCCACAGCCAAAGACAAGGCCAGGCUGCAUUGCAGGAUCUGCAGAGAGGAUGAUUGGCUGCAAUCUGCGGUGUCUACAAGACCUACACACCUCCAGGACACAGAGGCGAGCUGCAAUGAUUGGGGCUGAUCCCUCAUCCUGUAGAUGGACUAUCCAGAACCCUCCCCUCUGGCAGAGGUCUGUCAGGACCAAAACCUCUCACCCCAAGAACAGUUUCUUUCCUACAGCAGUAGGCCUCAUGAACAUGCCCCUGGAACCAAACUGACUAUAGCCUGCUCCACACACACACACACACACACACACACACACUCACACACUCACACACUCACACACUCACACACAUUUCUAAGGUUCAGAAAACCUCAGUCAACUUUUUAGAUUCCCAAUCCGCCAGAGGGGACCGCCAGAGGGGACCGCCAGAGGGGACCGCCAGAGGGGACCGCCAGAGGGGACCGCCAGAGGGGGAUUAGACCAUGGAAUCCCUGCUGACCAUGCUUCCCACCUCUCAGGGAUACAAACCCACUGUGCUUCCCACCUCUCAGGGAUACAAACCCACUGUGCUUCCCACCUCUCAGGGAUACAAAC